AAAAACACUUACGUAAAGGGCCUUAUAAUAAGAUUGCGUCUAGGGUCACGAAGGAGCGUCAUCCGCCACAAAGUGUGACAUUACUAACACAAAUUUCGUCACUUUGAUGGAUUUUACGUUAUGAAAGUACACGAGGAAAUUUCCAGGGAUGCCAAAAGUCAGUUAACCGAGUUGUGUUGGUUCCGGGUACACUCGUGAAUAUGAAUAUAAGCUGAGUUUAUAACAACUCGGCGAAAACAAUAAUAUAGUUAAGUACUUUUGGUUAACUGACUUUUGAGUCAGAAAUAUAAUGUAAUUAGA